rnacentral:rRNA from 1 species
GCUACGGGAGGCAGCAGUGGGGAAUAUUGGACAAUGGGGGAAACCCUGAUCCAGCGACGCCGCGUGAGUGAAGAAGGAUUUCGGUACGUAAAGCUCUAUCAGCAGGAAAGAAAAUGACGGUACCUGACUAAGAAGCGCCGGCGAACUACGUGCCAGCAGCCGCGGUAAUACGUAGGGGGCAAGCGUUAUCCGGAUUGACUGGGUGUCAAGGGCGCGGAGCCGGCAGGGCAAGUCUGGAGGGAAAUGCCGGGGCCCAACCCCGGAACUGCUCUGGAAACUGUGAAGCUGGAGUGCAGGAGAGGUAAGCGGACUUCCUGGUGUAGCGGUGAAAUGCGUAGAUAUCAGGAGGAACACCGGCGGCGAAGGCGGCUUCCUGGACUGUAACUGACGUUGAGGCUCGAAGGCGUGGGGAGCAAACAGGAUUAGAUACCCUUGUAGUC